AAAUUGAAGAGUUUGAUCAUGGCUCAGAUUGAACGCUGGCGGCAGGCCUAACACAUGCAAGUCGAACGGUAACAGAAAGAAGCUUGCUUCUUUGCUGACGAGUGGCGGACGGGUGAGUAAUGUCUGGGAAACUGCCUGAUGGAGGGGGAUAACUACUGGAAACGGUAGCUAAUACCGCAUAACGUCGCAAGACCAAAGAGGGGGACCUUCGGGCCUCUUGCCAUCGGAUGUGCCCAGAUGGGAUUAGCUUGUUGGUGGGGUAACGGCUCACCAAGGCGACGAUCCCUAGCUGGUCUGAGAGGAUGACCAGCCACACUGGAACUGAGACACGGUCCAGACUCCUACGGGAGGCAGCAGUGGGGAAUAUUGCACAAUGGGCGCAAGCCUGAUGCAGCCAUGCCGCGUGUAUGAAGAAGGCCUUCGGGUUGUAAAGUACUUUCAGCGGGGAGGAAGGGAGUAAAGUUAAUACCUUUGCUCAUUGACGUUACCCGCAGAAGAAGCACCGGCUAACUCCGUGCCAGCAGCCGCGGUAAUACGGAGGGUGCAAGCGUUAAUCGGAAUUACUGGGCGUAAAGCGCACGCAGGCGGUUUGUUAAGUCAGAUGUGAAAUCCCCGGGCUCAACCUGGGAACUGCAUCUGAUACUGGCAAGCUUGAGUCUCGUAGAGGGGGGUAGAAUUCCAGGUGUAGCGGUGAAAUGCGUAGAGAUCUGGAGGAAUACCGGUGGCGAAGGCGGCCCCCUGGACGAAGACUGACGCUCAGGUGCGAAAGCGUGGGGAGCAAACAGGAUUAGAUACCCUGGUAGUCCACGCCGUAAACGAUGUCGACUUGGAGGUUGUGCCCUUGAGGCGUGGCUUCCGGAGCUAACGCGUUAAGUCGACCGCCUGGGGAGUACGGCCGCAAGGUUAAAACUCAAAUGAAUUGACGGGGGCCCGCACAAGCGGUGGAGCAUGUGGUUUAAUUCGAUGCAACGCGAAGAACCUUACCUGGUCUUGACAUCCACGGAAGUUUUCAGAGAUGAGAAUGUGCCUUCGGGAACCGUGAGACAGGUGCUGCAUGGCUGUCGUCAGCUCGUGUUGUGAAAUGUUGGGUUAAGUCCCGCAACGAGCGCAACCCUUAUCCUUUGUUGCCAGCGGUCCGGCCGGGAACUCAAAGGAGACUGCCAGUGAUAAACUGGAGGAAGGUGGGGAUGACGUCAAGUCAUCAUGGCCCUUACGACCAGGGCUACACACGUGCUACAAUGGCGCAUACAAAGAGAAGCGACCUCGCGAGAGCAAGCGGACCUCAUAAAGUGCGUCGUAGUCCGGAUUGGAGUCUGCAACUCGACUCCAUGAAGUCGGAAUCGCUAGUAAUCGUGGAUCAGAAUGCCACGGUGAAUACGUUCCCGGGCCUUGUACACACCGCCCGUCACACCAUGGGAGUGGGUUGCAAAAGAAGUAGGUAGCUUAACCUUCGGGAGGGCGCUUACCACUUUGUGAUUCAUGACUGGGGUGAAGUCGUAACAAGGUAACCGUAGGGGAACCUGCGGUUGGAUCACCUCCUUACCUUAAAGAAGC
rnacentral:rRNA from 1 species